UGCACAUGGACAUCCAAGCCGUGUCCUGCGGCCUCCCGUGGGAUUCUUCCUCCAGAAUGAGAUCCUCUGAUUCCAGGUACCAUACAAAGAUGUUUACAAGAAAUGCAGAGGUAAAACAGCUGCUCCGAAAGCCAACCUUUUGUGUCCUUAACGGCAGAGUGUCAGUUAAAUCGCCCCAGCGCCCGGAAGCUUUUAUUCAUGUUUACACUGCUGUGAGUAGUUAUAAAUAAAUAAACCAAUAAAUAAAUGCUGGCAGUUUGCUUCUGGG
rnacentral:lncRNA from 1 species